rnacentral:snRNA from 1 species
AAUUGUUACAGCUCUUUUAGAAUUUGUCUAGCAGGUUUUCUGUUUUGUUUUUGUUUUUGUUUUUUGGGUUUUGUUUUGUUUUACUGAAAAACCCCC